rnacentral:rRNA from 1 species
AGUGAACGCUGGCGGUAGGCCUAACACAUGCAAGUCGAACGGCAGCACAGUAAGAGCUUGCUCUUACGGGUGGCGAGUGGCGGACGGGUGAGGAAUACAUCGGAAUCUACUUUUUCGUGGGGGAUAACGUAGGGAAACUUACGCUAAUACCUCAUACGACCUACGGGUGAAAGCAGGGGAUCUUCGUACCUUGCGCGAUUGAAUGAGCCGAUGUCGGAUUAGCUAGUUGGCGGGGUAAAGGCCCACCAAGGCGACGAUCCGUAGCUGGUCUGAGAGGAUGAUCAGCCACACUGGAACUGAGACACGGUCCAGACUCCUACGGGAGGCAGCAGUGGGGAAUAUUGGACAAUGGGCGCAAGCCUGAUCCAGCCAUACCGCGUGGGUGAAGAAGGCCUUCGGGUUGUAAAGCCCUUUUGUUGGGAAAGAAAAGCAGCAGGUUAAUACCCCGCUGUUCUGACGGUGCCCAAAGAAUAAGCACCGGCUAACUUCGUG